rnacentral:rRNA from 1 species
UGCCAGCAGCCGCGGUAAUACCGGCGCCUCAAGUGGUAGUCGCUUUUAUUGGGCCUAAAACGUCCGUAGCCGGUCUGAUACAUUCGUGGUGAAAUCCAGAGCUUAACUGGUUGAAUUCUGCGAGGACGGCCAGACUUGGGACCGGGAGAGGUGUGGGGUACGCUCAGGGUAGGGGUAAAAUCCUGUCAUCCUGAGCGGACCACCUGUUGCGAAGGCGCCACACUAGAACGGAUCCGACGGUCAGGGACGAAGCCUAGGGGCACGAACCGGAUUAGAUA